UCCACGAAAAUGACAUCAAGGCAUUUACCAGCGUCGACGGCAGCUACCCACUUCUCUCUGGCUACUAGGAGAUUCGAUACACAGGAACGUCCUUCCUGGAAACCAUGCUGAGCAGCAGUUAGCACGUCAAGCUUGUUCAGGUAGACGUCCGGUUUCCAAUGAAAGCUGGAAUAUGUGUCGGACGGGUUCUGCAAUAUGCUCGACAAUAGUUCUGAGGAAAGCUGGGUGCAUCUCAUCUGGUCCAGGAGAGGAGUUCUGCCGUAACUCCAGAAGUGCUUUUAUAACAGAUUCUCGCUCAAAUACAAGGUGAUGGAAGCCUGAGUCAGGAACUGGAGUUUGGGAAUCCAGGAUCUGCGGCUCGACGGUAUACACAGAGGCGUAUUGUGAGCCGAGUGAUUCAGCUUUUUCGGCAUCCUGGAGAAGGAGAUCCUCAGAACCCGGGGAACGAAGGGGAGGUAUGCCACUUCCUGCCUUGGUCCUUCUUUUCAAAUAAGCGAACAGGAGCUUUGGGGAAGUCUUGGAUGACUCCGCCAGAUGCAGUUCAUAUUCGGUUCGUUUUUCCCGCUUCAUUUGUGUGCACCGAUUUCGAACUAUUUUGUAGCGAUCAUAGUCCA